rnacentral:rRNA from 1 species
AACGAACGCUGGCGGCGUGCCUAACACAUGCAAGUCGAACGGAUUGAAGGGGCUUGCUCCUUCAGUUAGUGGCGCACGGGUGAGUAACGCGUAGAUAAUCUGCCUGAUGAUCUGGGAUAACAGUUCGAAAGGACUGCUAAUACCGGAUAAGCCCACGUGGUCUUUGGACCGUGCGGGAAAAGGGGGGGACCUUCGGGCCUUCUGUCAUCAGAUGAGUCUGCGUACCAUUAGCUAGUUGGUAGGGUAAUGGCCUACCAAGGCUACGAUGGUUAGCUGGUUUGAGAGAAUGAUCAGCCACACUGGAACUGAGACACGGUCCAGACUCCUACGGGAGGCAGCAGUGGGGAAUUUUGCGCAAUGGGCGAAAGCCUGACGCAGCAACGCCGCGUGAGUGAUGAAGGCUUUCGGGUCGUAAAGCUCUGUCGAGGGGAAAGAAGUGUAUUGUGGCUAAUAUCCACGAUACUUGACGGUACCCCCAAAGGAAGCACCGGCUAACUCCGUGCCAGCAGCCGCUGUAAAAC